rnacentral:rRNA from 1 species
AAGUCGAACGAUGAUCCGGUGCUUGCACCGGGGAUUAGUGGCGAACGGGUGAGUAACACGUGAGUAACCUGCCCUUGACUCUGGGAUAAGCCUGGGAAACUGGGUCUAAUACUGGAUACGACCUUCCCACGCAUGUGGUGUUGGUGGAAAGCUUUUGUGGUUUUGGAUGGACUCGCGGCCUAUCAGCUUGUUGGUGGGGUAAUGGCCUACCAAGGCGACGACGGGUAGCCGGCCUGAGAGGGUGGACGGCCACACUGGGACUGAGACACGGCCCAGACUCCUACGGGAGGCAGCAGUGGGGAAUAUUGCACAAUGGGCGCAAGCCUGAUGCAGCGACGCCGCGUGAGGGAUGAAGGCCUUCGGGUUGUAAACCUCUUUCAGUAGGGAAGAAGCGAAAGUGACGGUACCUGCAGAAGAAGCGCCGGCUAACUACGUGCCAGCAGCCGCGGUAAUACGUAGGGCGCAAGCGUUAUCCGGAAUUAUUGGGCGUAAAGAGCUCGUAGGCGGUUUGUCGCGUCUGCCGUGAAAGUCCGGGGCUUAACUCCGGAUCUGCGGUGGGUACGGGCAGACUUGAGUGAUGUAGGGGAGACUGGAAUUCCUGGUGUAGCGGUGAAAUGCGCAGAUAUCAGGAGGAACACCGAUGGCGAAGGCAGGUCUCUGGGCAUUAACUGACGCUGAGGAGCGAAAGCAUGGGGAGCGAACAGGAUUAGAUACCCUGGUAGUCCAUGCCGUAA